UAUUAGUUUGGUGCAAAAGAAAUUGCGGAUUUUGCCAUUAAAAGUUAUGGCAAAAAUCACAAUUACUUUUGCACCAACCUAAUAU
rnacentral:miRNA from 10 species